AUCCUGCUACAUAGACUGCAAAAGACGUUUCAUCUAGCAACCGAUGAGAAAAGAUGCAGAAAUCGACAUCCAAAAGCUAGGAGCAUCAUUAUGUAUAAAGUAUUUUUCCUUCUCAAAAAGUGACAGAGAGUGACAUUUGUCUUCUAUAUAGAGGAAAAAUGCCAACAUUUAUUACCAAGAAACCAUAAGGGAAAACAAUGACUAGGGAGAUGGAACAUCUUCUGGAUGGCCCGAGGAAAUACACGGACAAAGAGUGGAGCCAAGAUUGAAGGAAAGGCUAUCCAGAGACUGCCCUACCUGGGGAUCCAUACCAUAUACAGUCACCAAAGAAAGACACUAUUGUGUAUGCCAAGAAGUGCUUGCUGACAGGAGCCUGAUAUGGAUUUGUCCUGAAUGGCUCUGCCAGAGCCUGACAAAUACAGAUGCGGAUGCUCUCAGCCAACCAUUGGACUGACUAUGGGGUCCCCAAUGUAGGAGUUAAGGUAAGGACUGAAGGAGCUGAAGGGGUUUACAACCCCAUAAGAAGAACAACAAUAUCAACCAACAAGAUUCCUCAGGGCUCAAUACCAUCAACCAAAGAGAACAUACACGUGGAGAGACCCAUGGCUCCAUUCACAUAUGUAGCAGAAGAUGACACUUGUUGGGCAUCAAUGGAAGGGGUGACCCUUGGUCUUGUGAAGGUUUGAUGCCCCAAUGUAGUGCAAUGCCAAGGCAGGGAGGCAGAGGUUGGUGGGUGGGUAGGGGAGCACCCUCAUAGAAGCAGGGGUAGGGGUGGAAUAGGGGGUUUUCAGAUGGAAAACCUGGAAGAGGGACAAUAUUUGAAAUGUAAAUAAAACAACCAAUAAAAAUUUUUAAAAAGAUAUCAUUUACAGCUUUCUUUAUCUGUAUUACAUCUUACACAUAAAGAAAAACUUGCAAAAAAGAUGUAUAGAGUAAUUAUCUUACCCCAUAAUAUAGGAGAGAAUACAAAUGUUAGUCAUAAACCUUCAAAAUCAAAAUAAUAUAAUGACAACUUUUAUUUGAUAUAAUGAACAAAAAGGUACUUAUAUAUUGCUGUAAAUGUGGUCAAGGACAUAUUUACAGUUCAGGCAUAUUUUUCCAGGGAUGUAUAUGAUACAUUGGAUGGUUAGAAGAAAAGAAUACAUGUAGCUGUGGAAAUGAGCUUGGGAUGAGCCAACUGUUGGACUAAAUGGUCGAUUGUGUGAAAAGGAUGUAACCCUCACAAAAACACUGCAUCUUAGAUGCAGAGGGUCGUUUCCAUUCAUUGUGUGUAAUUAUGGUCUUGUGUUUAUUGUGGUCUUGGCUUUGGAAGCCUAUUUCAAUUUUAACUUUGCCUAGUGAUCUGGUUUCACACUGUUAGGAAUUUGGCAAAGCCUAGUUUCUUUCCUGGUGACAGUGGUUUUUUACAUUUUUAUUUGAAACUUGGAUUUUUUUCAGUUCUAGCUACACUCUGCAUUAUUUUGUUAUUAUUCAUCCCCCUUUUUUAGAUCCUCAUUCUAAACUCUGUAAACUAGUUGUCCUGGACCAAUCAGAUCAUUUCUCACAAUAUCUUUGAAUUUUAUGCUACAUUUUUCAAUAUAUUGCUAAUAGUUUACUAUAUCCCAUCAAAUAUUUCAAACUUGGAGUUGAAUUGUAAUGUUUUAUAUUUAUAGUCCUAUAGUGUGUAAAUGAUAGAAUAUUUUUAGAUUUUAUCCUCUGAAUGAGGAGACUUGUUUUCUCAUGAUUCUGAAACACGUAUUUGCUUCAACUAUAUUUUGCUGUCCAUUGUGAGGCAUUAGUAUUUGCCAUAAAUAUGUUGUAUAAUGGCUCAUUCUGUCACUUUCAGAGUUUUAUUUUAAACAAUGCAUGAUAAUAUUUAAGGUCAAGAGAAUGAAGCUGGCUGGACACUUACUUGUCCUUUGAAUCAGGGCAUUACUGAUUGGGAACGUUAUCAUGGGUUUUUAAGGUGGGCAACUGACUUAUCCUUCUCUUCCUGCAGUGACUUUGCUAUCAUUAGGCCAUAGGCUUCUCUAAAGUACUCAUUUAAACUCAUCGUGAAUAGAAAGUUUUAUUCAUUUGUGGAACCAUAGAGGUAAAUGGGGUGUUAGAUAAUUAUCUUAUGUUAUGUUGUAGAUAUAGAGUUACAAAUACUAUAUAAUCCUAUUUCCAAACAUACCUGGAUGUAGUAUCUCAGAUGUUUUAAGUCCAACCAUCUCAAAACCCAUAUGCUACUCAUACAAAGACAUUUUCCACAAUUAUUUCAUUUUCAGUAAACUUGUGUGGUUUCACUGAAGUUUUGGCAAUUUUUUAAUAUCCAUUAUCCAUUAUUUUGUUGGAUUUUGAGUACCUAUUGAAAAUAUUUACUUUCUACUCUUUAACUAUAACUAUGUGUAGUUAAUUAAAGUGAUUGAUUGGGAUACUGAGCGAUGACUCAAAAAUUAAUAGUAUUUGUAGCUCUAAAUGAAGACGUGUAUUGACUCUCAGCCUACUUAUCUGACUUAUUCUUCUGUAGGGUCUGAUGCCCUCAUUUGACCCCUUUGACAAUAGUAAUCAUGAAAAGAUAUAAACAGACACACACACACACACAUAUACACACACAAACAUACAUGUAAAAAUAAAAUGAAAAUUUAAUACAUUGAACUACCUUCUUUGAAAUAAUGAAAAGCAAAGAAAAUUAGUAGCAAAGGUUUAAUAUAAUUGAAAUAUAAACAUGUUGCUAUAUAUAACAUUAUAAUUAUCUAAUAAGAUAUGAAAUGGUUUAAAAUUUUAAAAUAUUAUAGAAAACUACAAGUUGGUAAAUCUCUAUUGAUCACCAAUCUAAAACCUCAACACUCUUAAAACUUCUGAAUCAUUUGAUCUAAAAUAUUUAGGUUGAUUACAAAGAUUUGAUUUUUGUGACAUUAUCAAGUUUAUUAAUCUUUCCUAUUCUUGAUUUAAUCUACUAAUAAGCUCAAAGAUUUGUUAUAUUAUCAUCAAUAUAGUAUUUUUCUUGUAAUCUCUUACCAUAUUACUUUAUAUACUUACUUUACAAAAUAAUGUGAUUCAUUUAGACAAGUUAUAUAUGUAUAUGCCACACUUUGUUUAUAUGUACCUCCCAAUAAAUUUCUAUAACCAUAAAC